UGAGCAAGCUGGGCAGCCGCAGUUUUUUUAAACUGAGGAAAGUCCGGGCUCCAUAGGGCAGGGUGCUGGAUAACGUCCAGUGAGGGUGACCUUAAGGAAAGUGCCACAGAAAACAAACCGCCCCUUCGGGGGUAAGGAUGAAACGGUGCGGUAAGAGCGCACCAGCAGCCAGGUGACUGGCUGGCUUGGUAAACCCCACCCGGAGCAAGACCAAGUAGAAGGGAUUGAGGAUGGCCCGUCCGCCCCUUGGGUAUGGUCGCUGGAGCUGUCAGGCAACUGGCAGUCGAGAUAGAUGGCUGCUGCUUCGCGAGAAGUACAGAACCCGGCUUACAUGCUUGCUCAGCAA
rnacentral:RNase_P_RNA from 1 species